AAUAGAUACCCCGGUAGUCCACGCCGUAAACGAUGAGUGCUAGGUGUCGGAGGGGAACCUUCGGUGCCGCAGCUAACGCAAUAAGCACUCCACCUGGGGAGUACGAUCGCAAGAUUGAAACUCAAAGGAAUUGACGGGGGCCCGCACAAGCGGUGGAGCAUGUGGUUUAAUUCGAAGCAACGCGAAGAACCUUACCAAGGCUUGACAUCCCGAUGCCGCACAUAGAGAUAUGUGUUUUCUUCGGAACAUCGGUGACAGGUGGUGCAUGGUUGUCGUCAGCUCGUGUCGUGAGAUGUUGGGUUAAGUCCCGCAACGAGCGCAACCCUUAUCUUUAGUAGCCAGCAGUAAGAUGGGCACUCUAAAGAGACUGCCGUGGAUAACACGGAGGAAGGUGGGGAUGACGUCAAAUCAUCAUGCCCCUUAUGUCUUGGGCAACACACGUGCUACAAUGGAACGGAACAAAAGUGAAGCAAAGCCGCGAGGUGGAGCGAAGCACAAAAAUCCGUUCUCAGUUCGGAUUGU
rnacentral:rRNA from 1 species